UCACCCUAGGAAUGUGCACAGGGGGCAGCUGCCGGUGGAGGGUGUUUGGUAUGAGGGAGACAGGCUCAUGGGGAAAUGCAGCUGGCCCUCCCGCACUGGGGCCCCAGCGCUGACAGGGGACGGCGUAGGACGGGGAUCCCUUGGGCUAGGAGGGCGAGAACUGCUGCGCCAUCAGGUGGCAGCUUUGGGGUCAGCACCCUCGAGAUGUCCUGCCCUUUCUCCAGCGGAAUUGGGAAGAGCCCCUCAAGGGCUAAACAGAUUCUGACGGGGUCUCUUGUGGUGGGGAGGACAGGUGGAGAGAGACAUGCUUCCCUUAUAACCCAGCAAUCCUGUUCCAUGUAUUUGCCCAAGAGAAAUGAAAACUUCUGGGUGGAUGUUUAUUCACCCAUAACCUGCUGCUAGGAAAAAUGGCUGCCAGGGGUCCUGUAAAGCAAAGCUUGCUUGGAGAAUGGGCGAAGAUGUAUGUAUGGAGGAGCUGAGACACUCAAAGGAUUAACCCCCUGGCCCAGGUCACCGACUUGUCGUGGAGUUCAUUGGAAUGUGAUGGGAAGGAGGAGAAGAAGGAGAAGGUGAUGGAGAGUCUCCUGGAGGCAGCUGAAUUUUUGGCAUGGCCGAGAAGACCUGGGGUGGACCCUUGACCCGCAUUGGGCCCACUCUUGCUUCUCUCCCGGGAACUAAGACUUAGGAUUUAUGAAUGCUGGUCUGUCUGUGCAGGAAUGGUGUGUGAGGGUAUGUAAGCUAGGGAACUGAGUGGUGACAUCUGCCCUGGACACUGGGAGGACAUUUGGGAAAGAUGGAGCAGCAAGUAGAGAGAGAAGCAGAGAUGGGGGAGCAAUUCAAGGGGAGAGUGAGA
rnacentral:lncRNA from 1 species